GGAAGUCAUUCAAACAGAGCGCCACUUCGGAGAGAUGGUGCGGAGACGCUGGAGAAGAUGGGCAGCAGUUCAUCCCGGCGCCAACCCUUGGGAGUUUUCGGCCCUAUUUCAGAGUGGAUUCCUGAUCCAUUUAUCAAGGAAUAAAUCAAUGGAGUAUUAGAUUGUGAUUUAUUUAGAAGUUCCUGUCAAUUUGUUUUCAGGGUGGCAACCUGUUCACAGGAUUUACUUGAUUAUGCAAAGGUCUCUCUGUGAUACUUGUUGGUGGUUAUGUUCUACUGCAGAUUUUCCCAUCAGCUGCACUUCUUUUGUUAUCCCUGCCAGGUAGUGAUUAGCACAAUUGGUCUUCUUUUUGUCAAGAAGCUGGAGGAACAACCAUUAUGGGGUUUGAAAGGAGUUCUUGAAGUUCAUUUUUAUGGUGAACUUUUUGACUUAGAUCAUGUCUUUGUUACUGCCACUGCAUUAUAUUACAGGUUACAUUUUUGCACCCAUCUCUGGCUUCCAUGGGGUUCUUUGUUGGGUAUUGACAAACUAUGCUGGGACCAGGAGCUCAAUCUUUUCUUUUCAUUCGUUGUGUUGAAUAUCCAAGGCCAAGGUUGUAUUUUUUUUCUUCUUUUUCUCACCAUUUCUUUGGUCUAGGUUUGUUAUUUACCUAACCGUAGGAAUUAAGCUGGUUCAUCUCUAAUUUGUUGAGUAUUAGAGACGAACCAGCUUAAUUGUUGUGUUUUUUCACCAAUGUAAAAACAUGUGUCAUACUAUUAUUGCCUAUUGGUAAGUUAUUUAUUUAUUUAAUUAUGUUUUUAA